rnacentral:rRNA from 1 species
UCGUGGUGACCAGCGGAGGGAUCAUUACCGAGUUUACAACUCCCAAACCCCUGUGAACAUACCACUUGUUGCCUCGGCGGAUCAGCCCGCUCCCGGUAAAACGGGACGGCCCGCCAGAGGACCCCUAAACUCUGUUUCUAUAUGUAACUUCUGAGUAAAACCAUAAAUAAAUCAAAACUUUCAACAACGGAUCUCUUGGUUCUGGCAUCGAUGAAGAACGCAGCAAAAUGCGAUAAGUAAUGUGAAUUGCAGAAUUCAGUGAAUCAUCGAAUCUUUGAACGCACAUUGCGCCCGCCAGUAUUCUGGCGGGCAUGCCUGUUCGAGCGUCAUUUCAACCCUCAAGCACAGCUUGGUGUUGGGGCUCGCGUUAAUUCGCGUUCCCCAAAUUGAUUGGCGGUCACGUCGAGCUUCCAUAGCGUAGUAGUAAAACCCUCGUUACUGGUAAUCGUCGCGGCCACGCCGUUAAACCCCAACUUCUGAAUGUUGACCUCGGAUCAGGUAGGAAUACCCGCUGAACUUAAGCAUAUCAAUAAGCGGAGGAA